rnacentral:tRNA from 5 species
GGAGAGGUGCCGGAGCGGUCGAACGGGGCGGUCUCGAAAACCGUUGUACCCGCAAGGGUACCGUGGGUUCGAAUCCCACCCUCUCCGCCA